rnacentral:rRNA from 1 species
UUUGACCUACGGGACGCAGCAGUGGGGGAUAUUGGGCAAUGGGCGCAAGCCUGACCCAGCAACGCCGCGUGAAGGAAGAAGGCUUUCGGGUUGUAAACUUCUUUUGUCAGGGACGAAGCAAGUGACGGUACCUGACGAAUAAGCCACGGCUAACUACGUGCCAGCAGCCGCGGUAAUACGUAGGUGGCAAGCGUUAUCCGGAUUUACUGGGUGUAAAGGGCGUGUAGGUGGGACUGCAAGUCAGAUGUGAAGACCACGGGCUCAACCUGUGGCCUGCAUUUGAGACUGUAGUCCUUGAGUACUGG